UGGGACAGUCCCAUGCUAUUCUCAUGAUAGUGAGCAAGUCUCAUGAGAUCCGAUGGGUUUAUUAGAGGGUUCUGCUUUUGCUCCCUCCUCAUUUUCUCUUGCCACCGCCAUGGAUGAAGAACCUUUCACCUCCCGCCAAGAUUCUGAGGCCUCACAAGUAAUUGGCAGUCUUCAUCAACCACUUGAAAUUCUCCUUCCAAGAUGAGCUGGAUAUAAGGAAACAGAUCCCCAGAGGUCAAAUAUCCUGCCAAAGAUGCCCUUGAAAGCCGGUGAAACAGCUGUCCGAAUCCAAAGCCUAUGCUCUUUACCUGACCAAAUGUUGGUUACUUAUUGGCACUUCCACAGGAGACAAAGAUUGCCAUUUUUAUCUUUUCAAGAAGCAAAACUGGCAUAGGAAAGGCAUGGAGAAGAUAAUAAAAGGAGAGAGCAAGUAUUUAAUUUGUUGUACAGCAUAUUUUAUAUUAAUAGGCAUACUCUACAGACAACGCAUACUUCAUCAUAUAGUUAAUACGUACGAGAAAAAUGAUGCUUAUUUACAACCAGAGUCAAAGAUAUCUCAAAUCUGAUUAACAUUGAAAAGCAACAACCUUAAAUGUCAUCUGUUAUCUAUAUUUUGUAUCUCUACUUUUAUCCAAUAAAACUGUUU